rnacentral:rRNA from 1 species
AGCGAACGCUGGCGGCAGGCUUAACACAUGCAAGUCGAGCGGGCAUAGCAAUAUGUCAGCGGCAGACGGGUGAGUAACGCGUGGGAACGUACCUUUUGGUUCGGAACAACACUGGGAAACUUGUGCUAAUACCGGAUAAGCCCUUACGGGGAAAGAUUUAUCGCCGAAAGAUCGGCCCGCGUCUGAUUAGCUAGUUGGUGAGGUAAUGGCUCACCAAGGCGACGAUCAGUAGCUGGUCUGAGAGGAUGAUCAGCCACAUUGGGACUGAGACACGUCCCAAACUCCUACGGGAGGCAGCAGUGGGGAAUAUUGGACAAUGGGCGCAAGCCUGAUCCAGCCAUGCCGCGUGAGUGAUGAAGGCCCUAGGGUUGUAAAGCUCUUUUGUGCGGGAAGAUAAUGACGGUACCGCAAGAAUAAGCCCCGGCUAACUUCGUGCCAGCCGCCGCAGUAA